GCUGACUCCAGUGUGGGAAGGACUAACCAAACUGGAUUCAAAUCCAAGCUCACUGGGGUCUGGAGAAGUGGCUUAAUCUUUCUGAGCCUUAAGUUCUUUCUCUGCAAAGUAGCUACGAGAAUGUUUCCAUCAUGAAAAUGGGUGCUGUUAUGGACCAGAGGACCAGAGAUCUGGAGGAGGUAGUGUCACACAGGCUGGGGCCCAGCUCAGUGGCAAGGUGAGCCCAGCAUGCACGAGGCCCCAGGCCACUCCCCAGCGCAGCUGCGGCCACCCAGCUGUCUCCUCCUCCUCUCUGGCUCCUCUUGCCUGCAGAGAAGCUGUCUUGCAGAGUUAAUCAUCAAAGCCAAGAAGGCAAGAGCAAACACGUAUCUCCAAAAACUUAAGGGAAAUUGACAAAUGCUGACUUUCCCUGCAGAUCUGUAGUAACACACGGGAGCAAAAACCACUUGGCAAGACUGAACUUCAGAAAGGAUCCGUAGGAGUUACUAUUUGGAUCUGGUAGGAGAACAAGCUUCUUGCAAACAGUGAGCCAUAAUGGUUGGUUUAUACACAAAGAAUGCUCUGCAGCAGCCAGAAGAGCAAAUGUGGUCACUCUGAUGUCAGCUAGCGGGAGGGAUGUAGCUUGGUGGGCAGAGACGCCCCGGAGGCCAGACUCCAAGCCUGGCUUGCUGCCAGGGCACCUUCUAAUAAACUGCUAGAUGUGGUUCAAAUGAACUAGUACCUGGCAGGGCUGGCUGAGGGGAGAUAGACAAAGAGAGACAUCAAAUUAUACUGUAGGGGUUUGUAUUUUGUUU
rnacentral:lncRNA from 1 species